CUACGGGGGGCUGCAGUGGGGGAUAUUGCGCAAUGGGCGAAAGCCUGACGCAGCGACGCCGCGUGGGUGAUGAAGGCCUUCGGGUCGUAAAGCCCUGUCGAGGGGGAAGAACCAGCCGUGGUCGAAUAGGCUGCGGCCCUGACGGUACCCCUAAAGGAAGCACCGGCUAACUCCGUGCCAGCAGCCGCGGUAAUACGGAGGGUGCGAGCGUUGUUCGGAAUCACUGGGCGUAAAGCGCGUGUAGGCGGUCUGCUAAGUCUGAUGUGAAAGCCCGGGGCUCACCCUCGGAAGUGCAUUGGAGACUGGCAGACUCGAGUCCCGGAGAGGAGGGUGGAAUUCCUGGUGUAGCGGUGAAAUGCGUAGAUACCAGGAGGAACACCGGUGGCGAAGGCGGCCCUCUGGACGGUGACUGACGCUGAGACGCGAAAGCGUGGGGAGCAAACAGGAUUAGAUACCCCUGUAGUC
rnacentral:rRNA from 1 species